rnacentral:rRNA from 1 species
UACGUAGGGUGCGAGCGUUGUCCGGAAUUAUUGGGCGUAAAGAGCUCGUAGGCGGUGUGUCACGUCGUUCGUGAAAACCUGCAGCUUAACUGUGGGCGUGCGGUCGAUACGGGCAUCACUGGAGUUCGGCAGGGGAGACUGGAAUUCCUGGUGUAGCGGUGAAAUGCGCAGAUAUCAGGAGGAACACCGGUGGCGAAGGCGGGGCUCUGGGCCGAUACUGACGCUGAGGAGCGAAAGCGUGGGGAGCAAACCGG